rnacentral:rRNA from 1 species
AGUCAAGUAAUUAAGUGCAUGUGGUGGAUGCCUUGGCAGUCAGAGGCGAUGAAAGACGUGAUAGCCUGCGAAAAGCUCCGGGGAGGCGGCAAAUAUCCUUUGAUCCGGAGAUGUCUGAAUGGGGGAACCCACCUACUUUAAGGUAGGUAUUGCAACAUGAAUACAUAGUGUUGCAAGGCGAACGAGGGGAAGUGAAACAUCUCAGUACCCUUAGGAAAAGAAAUCAAUUGAGAUUCCCUCAGUAGCGGCGAGCGAACGGGGAUCAGCCCAUUAAGUUAUGUGUGUUUUAGUGGAACGCUCUGGGAAGUGCGAACGUAGAGGGUGAUAUUCCCGUACACGAAAGGGCACACAUAAUGAUGACGAGUAGGGCGAGGCACGUGAAACCUUGUCUGAAUAUGGGGGGACCAUCCUCCAAGGCUAAAUACUCCUGACUGACCGAUAGUGAACCAGUACCGUGAGGGAAAGGCGAAAAGAACCCCUGUGAGGGGAGUGAAAUAGAUCCUGAAACCG